GCAUAAAAACAAUGCCAGCAAAAAUACAAGUUGUUAUCAAGGCCAAAGAAGGCCAUACAAAAUAGUAAUAAAACAGACUAUAUAAG